rnacentral:tRNA from 1 species
UCCCUGGUGGCUCAGAUGGUAAAGCGUCUGCCUACAAUGUGGAAGACCCAAGUUCAAUCCCUGGGUUGGGAA